rnacentral:rRNA from 1 species
AACGAACGCUGGCGGCAGGCUUAACACAUGCAAGUCGAACGCAUCGCAAGAUGAGUGGCAGACGGGUGAGUAACGCGUGGGAAUCUACCCAUCUCUGCGGAAUAGCUCUGGGAAACUGGAAUUAAUACCGCAUACGCCCUACGGGGGAAAGAUUUAUCGGGGAUGGAUGAGCCCGCGUUGGAUUAGCUAGUUGGUGGGGUAAAGGCCUACCAAGGCGACGAUCCAUAGCUGGUCUGAGAGGAUGAUCAGCCACAUUGGGACUGAGACACGGCCCAAACUCCUACGGGAGGCAGCAGUGGGGAAUAUUGGACAAUGGGCGCAAGCCUGAUCCAGCCAUGCCGCGUGAGUGAUGAAGGCCUUAGGGUUGUAAAGCUCUUUCACCGAUGAAGAUAAUGACGGUAGUCGGAGAAGAAGCCCCGGCUAACUUCGUGCCAGCAGCCGCCGUAAGAC